rnacentral:lncRNA from 1 species
GAUGUGCGCACAGUAGUGUUUUCAUCUUUUCUAUAAAUAUUUGUAGUUCAUCAUGCAUUACAGUAGGGCAUUCCUCUCUUUUGACUUUGCCCUUUUUUUUAGCUUGUUCAUCUGAUUUGCACAGAAGGGGGAAGAAGGCUUUAUGGAAAAGAUAAACUACAGACUCAACUCUGUGUGGAUACAAAGUUUUGUGGAAAAAAUGUAAGUGGGAAUGAUAGGCAAACAUCAGAAGUAAAAGCGGUAUCCGAGUCCCGUCAGCCUCUUCCUAUGCUUGGAAAUCUCUGGGGAAAGUCAGAC